rnacentral:rRNA from 1 species
AUUCCAGCUUCAGUAGCGUAUAUUAAAGUUGUUGCAGUUAAGAAGCUCGUAGUCGCAUUUCUGGCGAGAGGAAUUGGUCCGACAUUUAUUGUGGGUACUCGAUUCUCUCUCGCCAUCCUUGAGUGGUCCGUUCUGGCAUUUAGUUGUCGGAGCGUCAGCCGCUCAUCGUUUACUGUGAGAAAAUUAGAGUGUUCAAAGCAGGCUUAUGCCGUUGAAUAUAUUAGCAUGGAAUAAUAAGAUAGGACCUCGGUGCUAUUUUGUUGGUUUGCGCACAGAGGUAAUGAUGAACAGGGACAGUUGGGGGUAUUUGUAUUUCGUUGUCAGAGGUGAAAUUCUUAGAUUUACGAAAGACAAACUACUGCGAAAGCAUUUACCAAGGAUGUUUUCAUCA